rnacentral:misc_RNA from 1 species
AUAUACGGGGCGUGGCGGUUUGUGCUUGUGUGUUGUUUUCUCCGGCCGUUGUCCCUGCCCCGACGACCAUUUUGGGUGCUCGCACUAAGAAAUCGCGGCGGCACACCACGCGAAAUUGUACUUGCUUGAUGUCUUAAAUUGUGGAGGUGUGUAGAUCGUAUGGAGUCGCUCGUGGCUGGCGCGUGUGCCGGGUUGUUCGUUGACCUUAGUCUCUACCCCAUAGACACGGUAAAGACGCGCCUUCAGUCCAAGGAAGGUUUUUUGGCUUCCGGCGGCUUUAAUAAUGUUUACAAGGGCUUGAGUGCUAUGGCGGUGGGCUCAGUGCCUGGCGGGGCUGCGUUUUUCUUCGGCUACGACACAGCGAAGCGAUUGCUCUUGUCACUUGCAGCUCCCAGCCGCGCUGCAAGCGGGAUCGAGGCCACUUCGGUAGCCAUCACGCCGAGUGUAAUGGCGUGCCAGGCCGCGGCCGCCGUAUGCGGGGAGUGCUUUGCUUGCUGUAUCCGUGUACCGGUAGAGAUGGUAAAGCAGCAGAUGCAAGCCGGACAUCACGCAACCAUCACCUCCGUGUUGCGUAACGUCACCAACAACACGGCAACGCCGCUGGUGGUUCCACGAGACUUGGCGGCAGCUGUGCCGCCGCCGCCGCCAAUUCGUCUCUCCGGUAUGCAUCAUCUUUUUCGAGGCAUGCCGAUCAUGCUGAUGCGCGAGCUGCCGUUCUCCGUCAUUCAGAUGUCCCUGUACGAAUCUCUCAAGGCUAAAAUGCGCGCGUCCACGGACCACCCCUACGCCUCCCUCAGCCUUCCCUUUUGCGGUGCCUUCAGUGGCGGGUGCGCCGCCUUCCUCACAACCCCAUUGGACGUUCUAAAAACACGGAUCAUGUUGUUCCGGCGCGGGCCGGGGCAAGAGAAAGUGAGCAUACGGUAUGUACUGGAUGAGCUGAUUCGUGAGCCAGCCCGACCCGGUGACAGGUUCGGCUACGCACAGCGCUUCUUCCGCGGCGCCUCGACACGCGUGCUAUGGAUCUCGCUAGGCGGGAGCAUUUUCUUCGGCACCUACGAGUUUGUCAAGUCCGGCUUCCAAAGCGAGCACACGCUAUAGCAAGCAACCCUACCCUAAAUCCACGUACAGACUGUUGCCUUCGACGUCGCUCUCGAGAAGGUUCACUCAGUGUCUUACCCGCUUUUUUGUGGAUGUCCUUUCUUUACGGAAAGGGGGCCCUUGUGCGGGGACUCAGAGGGCACCAAGGAGGGGUGAAAAGGGAUGGCGAGAGCGCGGAGAGGGGGCGAGCCGCUGCAGAACAGAAGCGACGGUAUCGUCUUCGGCCUCACUACAGUCUGUUGUCUCCUCCGUUCGACCUCUCUUGCAUCCUAGGUGAGUUACGUGGCGGACUGCGCUGAUGACUCCGGGUUCUGCCGCUCCCUCUUACUUCUCAACAGACACAUACUUACUCCCCGUCAUAGCGGCAACCACAUCAGUUAAUCAUCAUCAUCUUUGGCCUAUCCCACUCCUAAGUAUUUGCGAUUCGCUUUUCAAGACACACAAACACACACGCACACGCACACGCACACAGUAACGGCUCCAGGCAGGGAAGAUCGGCUUUGAUGAAUAAAGUCUGCGCGGCGUCACUGGAGCUUGCAUCAGUGUUCUGGUCACGUGCUCUUCUUUCACCCCGUUGCCGCAACUCGCCAACGACACCCGCUUCGCUGGCCACGCCAUCCAGCCGCUGCAUUGCUUCCGUUUUGAUGACACCUGAGAUGAGGCCCUUGACGCCUUUUUCGUGUGCUUUAGUGAAGCAUCGGUGUCUCCAGGACGCGAGCUGACUAGCGUCUUUCUCCACGACCCUCUUGAUGCUCCGCACGUCGACAAACACUUUCCAGCU